CCAAUAGCGUAUAUUAAAGUUGCUGCAGUUAAAAAGCUCGUAGUUGAAUUUCGGGACCAAUAUGUCGGUCGUGCUUCGGUACGUACUUGCAUUAUUGGUUUCUCCCUUCUGACGAACCAUGAUGUCAUUAAUUUGGUGUCUUGGGGAAUCAGGACUGUUACUUUGAAAAAAUUAGAGUGUUUAAAGCAGGCUCACGCUUGAAUACAUUAGCAUGGAAUAAUGAAAUAGGACGUUUGAUUCUAUUUUGUUGGUUUCUAGGAUCGACGUAAUGAUUAAUAGGGAUAGUUGGGGGCAUUAGUAUUCAAUUGUCAGAGGUGAAAUUCUUGGAUUUAUUGAAGACUAACUACUGCGAAAGCAUUUGCCAAGGAUGUUUUCAUUAAUCAAGAACGAAAGUUAGGGGAUCGAAGACGAUCAGAUACCGUCGUAGUCUUAACCAUAAACUAUGCCGACUAGGGAUCGGAUGAUGUUAAUUUUUUAAUGACUCA
rnacentral:rRNA from 1 species